rnacentral:rRNA from 1 species
UACGUAGGGGGCGAGCGUUGCCCGAAGUUACUGGGCGUAAAGCGCGUGUAGGCGGGUCUUUAAGUGAGGGGUGAAAGGUUCAGGGCUUAACCCGGACACUGCCUUUCAUACUGGGGACCUUGAGUGCGGGAGAGGCGAGUGGAAUGGUCGGUGUAGCGGUGAAAUGCGUAGAUAUCGAUCGGAACACCCAUGGCGAAGGCAGCUCGCUGGCCUGUAACUGACGCUGAGACGCGAAAGCGUGGGGAGCAAACAGG